rnacentral:rRNA from 1 species
UACGAAGGGGGCUAGCGUUGCUCGGAUUGGCUGGGCGUAAAGGGCGCGUAGGCGGUUUGCAUAGUCAGACGUGAAAUUCCUGGGCUUAACCUGGGGGCUGCGUUUGAUACAUGCAGGCUUGAGUUCGGAAGAGGGUCGUGGAAUUCCCAGUGUAGAGGUGAAAUUCGUAGAUAUUGGGAAGAACACCGGUGGCGAAGGCGGCGACCUGGUCCGAUACUGACGCUGAGGCGCGAAAGCGUGGGGAGCAAACAGG